UCACUGGUCAGACAGGUUCGAAGCCCCCUUGCAUAAUGACUCAUCCCCUGUCCUGGUGGGCCGUGCUAAUUGUCAAAUCUGAUGGAAACCAUCUGACUGGCAGCAAAGCCAAGGACAGAAUGAGUCUACUUCUGAUCUCUCUCCAGGUUGGGGCUGCUGUGACGCCACGGACUUUGGAGGAAUUGCUCCCAGUUUACACGAGUGCCAAUGCAGCCAGCUCCGAGUGACCCCGUUUCCAACCGGACUUCUCCGCGGAAGCGGCGUGCUACUCACUGCCCCUCUGUUUCCCUCCAUCCUCCACUGAUGUAAUGCCGGCUGGGGGCACAUACUCUCUCUCCCUGAGCGCUAGUGGAGGACCAGCCGAAGAGGGGCCUGGUUCUGGCCGGGGGCCCGACGGAUGAGCAGCACAGUCCUCUAUUAACCGGACUGGAAUAUCAGCAUUGGGAGCCAGCCACGAGGCCUCGGUGUCAGCGUUCACUAUUCCCUCGCCGGUCGCUUUGUGUAGGGGUUUUUUGAAGGAAAAACAGGUCAAAAUUGGAACAAAAUGCUUUUGUGGUUUUCUCAUGUGGGCACAUUUUGGAAUGGAAGAAAAAUGUGAAAAUGCAACACCUGCCAGGAAAUGGAGCAUCUCGUUUCUGUCGGCGCGAAUAGAAGCAGAGCGACAGCAUCUGAUCCCAGCAAAGAGGGUGGGAAUGUAGCCACAAACUUUGAUGGCAUUGGGUUGGGCACACGGCCAUACGGAGACCGUUCUGAAGCACAUGGAAGGUCCGGAUCGCAUCUUCUCCUUGCUUAGUGGCGAUCAUGUUUGGCUAGCAGUUGCUGAGAACUGCAGCAUUUUUUGUUUGUCAUUUUUUUCUUUUGGCAAACAGCAGAAAAAUUCUAUUAAAAAUGUUCACCUUCUCUCCUCAGUUCCGGCCUGUUUGCAUAAAAAACCUCUUUUUUGGUCCAAAAUAAUGGUUUGGACAGAAACUUGCUGACAGUUCUAUGAUCACCGCUUUGCCGUUACCCAUACCAGGCUUGUGCGAGGUCUGGCCUCUUUCACACUCCUGCAUGUUCCACCGACACAAACCUACCCAACAACCCCAUGAUCACACAAAGAGCCAGCUGAGAGCAACUGUUCCAUCCUGAGCCCCGUAAGGUCUUAUCGCCGGGGUGGGCAAUAAUUUUUGGCUGGGGGCCACUUCAAAAAUGAAAGGGUGGGGCCUAAAUCAGAAGGGGUGGGGCCAGGAUAUGUGGCAGGCCAAAUCUGCCCCGUGGUGGCCCUUUGGCCCACGCCUGCCUUAUCGUGUAGGCUGACCAAAGCCAGGC